UACGGAGGAUCCAAGCGUUAUCCGGAUUUAUUGGGUUUAAAGGGUGCGUAGGCGGCUUUUUAAGUCAGGGGUGAAAGACGGUGGCUCAACCAUCGCAGUGCCUUUGAUACUGAAGAGCUUGAUUGGACUUGAGGUAGGCGGAAUGUGACAAGUAGCGGUGAAAUGCAUAGAUAUGUCACAGAACACCGAUUGCGAAGGCAGCUUACUAAGGUUUUAAUGACGCUGAGGCACGAAAGCGUGGGGAUCAAACAGG
rnacentral:rRNA from 1 species